rnacentral:rRNA from 1 species
AGAGUUUGAUCAUGGCUCAGAACGAACGCUGGCGGCAUGCCUAACACAUGCAAGUCGAACGUGAUCCAGGCUUCGGUCUGGUGAAAGUGGCAGACGGGUGAGUAACGCGUGGGAACCUGCCCUGUGGUAGGGAAUAACCGCGGGAAACUGCGGCUAAUACCCUAUGAGUCCUUCGGGAGAAAGAUUUAUCGCCAUAGGAGGGGCCCGCGUCGGAUUAGGUAGUUGGUGGGGUAACGGCCUACCAAGCCUUCGAUCCGUAGCUGGUCUGAGAGGAUGAUCAGCCACACUGGGACUGAGAUACGGCCCAGACUCCUACGGGAGGCAGCAGUGGGGAAUAUUGGACAAUGGGGGCAACCCUGAUCCAGCAAUGCCGCGUGGGUGAUGAAGGCCUUCGGGUUGUAAAAGCCCUUUUCGGCGGGGAAGAUGAUGACGGUACCCCGCAGAAAGAAAGCCCCCGGCUAACUUCGUGCCAGCAGCCCGCGGGUAAUACGAAGGGGGGCUAGCGUUGUUCGGGAAUUACUGGGCGUAAAGGGCGCGUAGGCUGUGCUGUAAGUCAGGCGUGAAAGGCCCGGGCUCAACCUGGGAACUGCGUUUGAUACUGCGGCGCUGGAAUGCAGGAGAGGAUGGCGGAAUUCCCAGUGUAGAGGUGAAAUUCGUAGAUAUUGGGAAGAACACCGGUGGCGAAGGCGGCCAUCUGGCCUGCAAUUGACGCUGAGGCGCGAAAGCGUGGGGAGCAAACAGGAUUAGAUACCCUAGUAGUCC